rnacentral:rRNA from 1 species
GAUGAACGCUGGCGGCGUGCUUAACACAUGCAAGUCGAACGGAAAGGCCCAAGCUUGCUUGGGUACUCGAGUGGCGAACGGGUGAGUAACACGUGGGUGAUCUGCCCUGCACUUCGGGAUAAGCCUGGGAAACUGGGUCUAAUACCGGAUAGGACCACAUUUUGGAUGGUGUGGUGGAAAGUUUUUCGGUGUGGGAUGAGCUCGCGGCCUAUCAGCUUGUUGGUGGGGUAAUGGCCUACCAAGGCGUCGACGGGUAGCCGGCCUGAGAGGGUGUACGGCCACAUUGGGACUGAGAUACGGCCCAGACUCCUACGGGAGGCAGCAGGGGGGAAUGUUGCACACUGGGCGCAAGCCUGAGGCAGCGACGCCGCGUGGGGGAUGACGGCCUUCGGGUUGUAAACUCCUUUCGCUAGGGACGAAGCGUUUUUGUGACGGUACCUGGAGAAGAAGCACCGGCUAACUACGUG